rnacentral:rRNA from 1 species
CCUACGGGAGGCAGCAGUGAGGAAUAUUGGUCAAUGGACGCAAGUCUGAACCAGCCAUGCCGCGUGCAGGAUGACGGCUCUAUGAGUUGUAAACUUCUUUUGUACAAGGAUAAACUCAGAUACGUGUAUCUUUCUGAAUGUAUCUUACGAAUAAGGAUCGGCUAACUCCGUGCCAGCAGCCGCGGUAAUACGGAGGAUUCGAGCGUUAUCCGGAUUUAUUGGGGUUAAAGGGUGCGUAGAAGGUCUGUUAAGUCAGUUGUGAAAUCUUGAGGCUCAACCUCGAAAUUGCAAUUGAUACUGUCAGGCUUGAGAACAGUUGAGGUAGGCGGAAUGCAUGGUGUAGCGGUGAAAUGCUUAGAGAUCAUAAAGAACACCGAUUGCGAAGGCAGCCUACUAAGCUGCCUCUGACAUUGAGGCACGAAAGUGGGGGGAUCAAACAGGAUUAGAUACCCGGGUAGUC